AAUAAGUGCAGCCAUGAGUUUUCGCGCUCAACUUUGAUCGUCCAUCUUAUUUGAAUUUUUUUCAUAAUUAGCAUUUUUGUUGUUAUAAGAUGAUAAAACAUAAAUAGUACUUUACUCGUGACUUAUGUUUUAAUCUUUUUAAAAAAAUUUUCAAAUAAGAUGAAUGGUUAAAGUUGAGCGCGGAAAACCAUGGCUGCACUUAUU
rfam:Oryza nivara chromosome 8, whole genome shotgun sequence.